UUUGAGGGGUAUGUUGUCUGGCUCGAGGCCAUCAACUAGCUAGAUUCAUUCGAUACGCAGAGUUGGUGUCGUCGGACCAGGCUUCAUUCCCCUCAGU
rnacentral:pre_miRNA from 1 species